GACAGGGGAUGCAAGCGUUACUCGGAAUUACUGGGCGUAAAGCGUCUGCAGGCUUCUUUCCACGUCUGGUGUAAAAGCACGGGGCUCAACCCCGUGUACGUGCCGGAAACGAGAGAGAUCGAGUCAUUCAGAGGCAUCUGGAAUGCUGUGUGUAGGGGUAAAAUCCGUAGAUCCACAGUGGAACGCCAAAAGUGAAAACAGGAUGCCGGGAAUGUACUGACGCUCAGAGACGAAAGCGUGGGGAGCAAAGGGG
rnacentral:rRNA from 1 species